UUAAAUUUGAGAGUUUGAUCCUGGCUCAGGAUGAACGCUGGCGGCGUGCUUAACACAUGCAAGUCGAACGAAGCACUACCGACGGAACUUUUCGGAGGGAAGAUGGUAAUGACUGAGUGGCGGACGGGUGAGUAACGCGUGGGC
rnacentral:rRNA from 1 species